GUGUCAGCCGCCGCGGUAAUACAGAGGUGGCAAGCGUUGUUCGGAAUUAUUGGGCGUAAAGAGCACGUAGGUGGGUUUGUAAGUCAGAUGUGAAAGCCUCCUGUUCGACGGGAGAAUUGCAUCUGAAACUACAGAUCUUGAGUGUAGGAGGGGAGAAUGGAACUUCUGGUGGAGCGGUGAAAUGCGUAGAUAUCAGAAGGAACGCCGGCGGCGAAAGCGAUUCUCUGGCCUAUUACUGACACUCAGUGUGCGAAAGCUAGGGGAGCAAACGGGAUUAGAUACCCCGGUAGUCCUAGCCGUAAACGAUGGGCACUAAGUAGAGGAAAUUACCGAUAUUUUCUCUGCCGUAGCUAACGCAUUAAGUGCCCCGCCUGGGGAGUACGGCCGCAAGGCUAAAACUCAAAUAAAUUGACGG
rnacentral:rRNA from 1 species